GGAGCCGGGGAAGCAGGGAGUGGCCGCCGGACCUGGCGGUGAGCUCGCGCGGGUUCGAAUCCCGUCGGCCCCGC
rnacentral:tRNA from 1 species